rnacentral:siRNA from 1 species
AGGGACAACCUCCUAUGGAGAUGC